AGCAGAGAGGAUCAUUUGGGAGCUCAUUUCGUCAGUGGACAUAAAUUGAAUCUUUCUCUCAAUCCAUUUAGCGUAGAAAAGAGAGAAGAACAAAGAAACCCUAGAAGAGAUUGAACCAAAAGGAGGAAGAAGAAGAAGAAGAAGGAGGCACCUGUUAGUAGACUCUGUAGAUCAAUCCAGAUCUGUCACAACAGAACCGCCUUCGAAAUUUGGAGCUUUAUAUUUUUGUCGCAUGCGAUUCUAAUAUUUUUUCACUAUUAAGUGAAAUUAAGCAAUAGUUGAUUUAAAAGAAGGGAAAGCAUUGAAUUUAGUGCGUGUGCGUGUGCGUGUGCGU
rnacentral:misc_RNA from 1 species